rnacentral:rRNA from 1 species
UGGGGAAUAUUGGACAAUGGGCGAAAGCCUGAUCCAGCCAUGCCGCGUGUGUGAAGAAGGUCUUCGGAUUGUAAAGCACUUUAAGUUGGGAGGAAGGGCAUUAACCUAAUACGUUAGUGUUUUGACGUUACCGACAGAAUAAGCACCGGCUAACUCUGUGCCAGCAGCCGCGGUAAUACAGAGGGUGCAAGCGUUAAUCGGAAUUACUGGGCGUAAAGCGCGCGUAGGGUGGUUGUUAAGUUGGAUGUGAAAUCCCCGGGCUCAACCUGGGAACUGCAUUCAAAACUGACUGACUAGAGUAUGGUAGAGGGUGGUGGAAUUUCCUGUGUAGCGGUGAAAUGCGUAGAUAUAGGAAGGAACACCAGUGGCGAAGGCGACCACCUGGACUAAUACUGACACUGAGGUGCGAAAGCGUGGGGAGCAAACA